UAUGGCCAAAUCAUGUUGAAACACCAGUUCUUAUUUAAUCACCAAAGUUAAGCAACAUUGAGCCUGGUCUGUACCAAGAUGGGUGACUGCUUGGGAAUACCAAGUGGUGUAA